UACGUAGGGUGCGAGCGUUAAUCGGAAUUACUGGGCGUAAAGCGUGCGCAGGCGGUUUUGUAAGCCAGAUGUGAAAGCCCCGGGCUUAACCUGGGAAUUGCGAUGGAGACUGCAAGGCUAGAAUCUGGCAGAGGGGGGUAGAAUUCCACGUGUAGCAGUGAAAUGCGUAGAGAUGUGGAGGAACACCGAUGGCGAAGGCAGCCCCCUGGGUCAAGAUUGACGCUCAUGCACGAAAGCGUGGGGAGCAAACAGG
rnacentral:rRNA from 1 species